UACGAGGGGGGCGAGCGUUGUUCGGAUUUACUGGGCGUAAAGGGCGCGUAGGCGGCGCGAGAAGUCGAGUGUGAAAGCCCCGGGCUCAACCUGGGAACCGCGCUUGAGACUGGCAUGCUCGAGUUCGGGAGAGGAUGGUGGAAUUCCCAGUGUAGAGGUGAAAUUCGUAGAUAUUGGGAAGAACACCGAUGGCGAAGGCAGCCAUCUGGACCGACACUGACGCUGAGGCGCGAAAGCGUGGGGAGCAAACAGG
rnacentral:rRNA from 1 species